rnacentral:rRNA from 1 species
CACGUAGGGCGCAAGCGUUGUCCGGAAUCAUUGGGCGUAAAGAGCGUGUAGGCGGCUCGGUAAGUCCGCUCUGAAAGCCCGGGGCUCAACCCCGGGAGGCGGGCGGAUACUGUCGGGCUAGAGUCCGGAAGAGGCGAGUGGAAUUCCUGGUGUAGCGGUGAAAUGCGCAGAUAUCAGGAGGAACACCAAUGGCGAAGGCAGCUCGCUGGGACGGUACUGACGCUGAGACGCGAAAGCGUGGGGAGCAAACAGG